rnacentral:misc_RNA from 1 species
GCAGAUCUUGAGAGUCUUAGAUUGCCUCAUAACAAGGCGUACUUUGCCCGUUUCCUUGUGCUUUAAGAGCUUAACUGUACCCGCGCCUCUCUCCUUCCACUGGUUCCCCUCCUUAUCGAAUCGAUAGAGCUUGGAUUUCCUUCAAAUCAAAACGAAGGAAAAAAAAAAAGAAUUAAAACACCCUAGAAUCGCUGAUAAGUGAUGAAAUUAGGGAAAAUACUAUUACAGAUCGAGAAUGGGAUCUUCGUUCUCUUCACCGGUGUUGAAGGCGACCUCCUCGAGCUUGACAAUAGGAGCGACAUGAGCUCCAGUGUCCUCGUCCUCGCCGGCAGGGGCAUCAUCAUCUUCUCUGUGAUCGUGAUCGGCCUCAGUGCUUGCCAUUGUUGCGCUUGUUUCAAGUGGCUAGAGAGAAAUGAGAACCAGUUUAUGCGAGUUAAUAUAGUAUAGCAAGGAGAGCAAAGAGAGAUGAGGGCUUUGACGCUGAGCAAGGCAAGUAGGUUUUUAUGGAGGUUAUCGAAUGGUAAAGUCGAG